rnacentral:rRNA from 1 species
UACGUAGGUGGCAAGCGUUGUCCGGAUUUACUGGGUGUAAAGGGCGUGUAGACGGGUUUUUAAGUCAGAUGUGAAAUCCCUCGGCUCAACUGAGGAACUGCAUUUGAAACUGGAGAUCUUGAGUGCCGGAGAGGGAAGCGGAAUUCCUAGUGUAGCGGUGAAAUGCGUAGAUAUUAGGAGGAACACCGGUGGCGAAGGCGGCUUUCUGGACGGUAACUGACGUUGAGGCGCGAAAGCGUGGGGAGCAAAC